rnacentral:lncRNA from 1 species
AUGACGUUUAAUUUUCUCUCCAAUUCUUAGGUCCUGCUCCGCUUCGCAGUGGAAUGGAACGGAUUUAGAAGCCUGCAGUAGGGGAGUGGGGAGUGGAGAGAGGGAGCCCAGAGUUACAGACGGCGGCGAGAGGCCCCAAAGAGUCUGAUGUUUACAAGACCAGAAAUGCCACGGCCGCGUCCUGGCAGAGAAAAGGCUGAAAUGGAGGACCGGCGCCUUCCUUAUAAGCUCGUUGGGGCCUAAGCCAGUACCGACCUGGUAGAAAAAGCAACCACGAAGCUAGAGAGAGAGCCAGAGGAGGGAAGAGAGCGCCAGACGAAGGUGAAAGCGAACCACGCAGAGAAAUGCAGGCAAGGGAGCAAGGCGGCAGUUCCCGGAACAAACGUGGCAGAGGGCAAGACGGGCACUCACAGACAGAG